rnacentral:rRNA from 1 species
UACAGAGGGGGCAAGCGUGGUUCGGAAUUACUGGGCGUAAAGGGCGCGUAGGCGGCCGCCUAAGUCAGACGUGAAAUCCCUCGGCUCAACCGGGGAACUGCGUCUGAUACUGGGUGGCUUGAAUCCGGGAGAGGGAUGCGGAAUUCCAGGUGUAGCGGUGAAAUGCGUAGAUAUCUGGAGGAACACCGGUGGCGAAGGCGGCGUUCUGGACUGUCUCUGACACUGAAGACCGAAAGCGAGGGGAGCAAACGGG